GUGCCAGCGGCCGCGGUAAUACGUAGGAUGCGAGCGUUGUCCGGAUUUACUGGGUGUAAAAGGGAGCGCAGGCGGGACUGCAAGUUGGAUGUGAAAUGUCGAGGCUUAACCUCGGAACUGCAUCCAAAACUGUAGUUCUUGAGUGGAGUAGAGGCAAGCGGAAUUCCGAGUGUAGCGUGAAAUGCGUAGAUAUUCGGAGGAACACCAGUGGCGAAGCGGCUUGCUGGGCUCUAACUGACGCUGAGGCUCGAAAGUGUGGGGAGCAAACAGGAUUAGAUACCCUGGUAGUCCACACUGUAAACGAUGAUUACUAGGUGUGGGGAGUCUGACCCUCUCCGUGCCGCAGUUAACGCAAUAAGUAAUCCACCUGGGGAGUACGAUCGCAAGAUUGAAACUCAAAGGAAUUGACGGGGGCCCGCACAAGCAGUGGAUUAUGUGGUUUAAUUCGAAGCAACGCGAAGAACCUUACCAGGUCUUGACAUCUCCUGCAUUACUUAGAGAUAAGGAAGUCCUUCGGGACAGGAUGACAGGUGGUGCAUGGUUGUCGUCAGCUCGUGUCGUGAGAUGUUGGGUUAAGUCCCGCAACGAGCGCAACCCCUGCCAUUAGUUGCUACGCAAGAGCACUCUAAUGGGACCGCUACCGACAAGGUGGAGGAAGGUGGGGAUGACGUCAAAUCAUCAUGCCCCUUAUGACCUGGGCUACACACGUAAUACAAUGGCCAUCAACAGAGGGAAGCAAUAUCGCGAGGUGGAGCAAAACCCUAAAAAUGGUCUCAGUUCGGAUCGCAGGCUGCAACCCGCCUGCGUGAAGCUGGAAUUGCUAGUAAUCGCGGAUCAGCAUGCCGCGGUGGAAUACGUUCCCGGGCCUUGUACACACCGCCCGU
rnacentral:rRNA from 1 species